UACGUGGGGGGCAAGCGUUGUUCGGAAUUACUGGGCGUAAAGGGCGCGUAGGCGGUCUUCUAAGUCGGACGUGAAAUCCCUCGGCUCAACCGAGGAACUGCGUCUGAUACUGGAAGGCUUGAAUCCGGGAGAGGGAUGUGGAAUUCCAGGUGUAGCGGUGAAAUGCGUAGAUAUCUGGAGGAACACCGGUGGCGAAGGCGGCAUCCUGGACCGACACUGACACUGAGGAGCGAAAGCCAGGGGAGCAAACGGG
rnacentral:rRNA from 1 species